UACGUAGGGUGCAAGCGUUGUCCGGAAUUAUUGGGCGUAAAGAGCUUGUAGGCGGUUUGUCGCGUCUGCUGUGAAAUUUCGGGGCUCAACCCCGAACUUGCAGUGGGUACGGGCAGACUAGAGUGUGGUAGGGGAGACUGGAAUUCCUGGUGUAGCGGUGAAAUGCGCAGAUAUCAGGAGGAACACCGAUGGCGAAGGCAGGUCUCUGGGCCAUAACUGACGCUGAGAAGCGAAAGCAUGGGGAGCGAAC
rnacentral:rRNA from 1 species